rnacentral:rRNA from 1 species
UGGGUGUGACUGCGUACCUUUUGUAUAAUGGGUCAGCGACUUAUAUUCUGUAGCAAGGUUAACCGAAUAGGGGAGCCGGAGGGAAACCGAGUCUUAAUUGGGCGUUAAGUUGCAGGGUAUAGACCCGAAACCCGGUGAUCUAGCCAUGGGCAGGUUGAAGGUUGGGUAACACUAACUGGAGGACCGAACCGACUAAUGUUGAAAAAUUAGCGGAUGACCUGUGGCUGGGGGUGAAAGGCCAAUCAAACCGGGAGAUAGCUGGUUCUCCCCGAAAGCUAUUUAGGUAGCGCCUCGUGAAUUCAUCUCCGGGGGUAGAGCACUGUUUCGGCUAGGGGGCCAUCCCGGCUUACCAACCCGAUGCAAACUGCGAAUACCGGAGAAUGUUAUCACGGGAGACACACGGCGGGUGCUAACGUCCGUCGUGAAGAGGGAAACAACCCAGACCGCCAGCUAAGGUCCCAAAGUCAUGGUUAAGUGGGAAACGAUGUGGGAAGGCCCAGACAGCCAGGAUGUUGGCUUAGAAGCAGCCAUCAUUUAAAGAAAGCGUAAUAGCUCACUGGUCGAGUCGGCCUGCGCGGAAGAUGUAACGGGGCUAAACCAU